rnacentral:lncRNA from 1 species
GUUGACAUACAAGUUGUCUAGCACAUGUAUACACAUGUACUACAUCAUAGCUAGCACAUGUAUAUGAGUUGUAUAGUAGGUGUAAUACAAGUUGUGUAGCACAUGUAUACAAAUGUACUACAUCAUAGCUAGCACAUGUAUAUGAGUUGUAUAGUAGGUGUAAUUAGGUGUAUGACAACUAAUAGAUUAGGUGAAUUAGUAUUAUAAAUAGGUCUUGUAAUCUUCUCUUCUAGAUAUGAAAUAUAGAACUUCUUUGGUUUCUAACAUGGUAUCAGAGCAUUGAAGUUUUUUCAUCAGUUUGUUGUUGGGAAUUUUUUUUUCCCCGUUCGAAUUAUUUUUGUUCAGAACAGUCUUUCGCUGCUUUGAUUCUAUUUCACUAUUUCCGGCCAUUUUUUGCCCCGGCCGCUUCUUUACAGAUUUUUCUACUCACUAUUCCGACCAAAGUGGUACUGUCAGAAUUUUUUUUCCUGACAACUUUCAUUUUCCAAGAUCACUGUUC